rnacentral:rRNA from 1 species
UACAGAGGCCACGAGCGUUAGGCGGAAUCACUGGGCUUAAAGCGUGUGUAGGUGGAUAGGUAAGUACCUUGUGAAAUCCCACGGCUCAACCGUGGAACUGCUCGGUAUACUGCUUUUCUUGAGCCACUUAGGGGCUACCGGAACAAAUGGUGGAGCGGUGAAAUGCGUAGAUAUCAUUUGGAACGCCAAUGGUGAAAACAGGUAGCUGGGAGUGUGCUGACGCUGAGACACGAAAGCCAGGGGAGCGAACGGG